rnacentral:lncRNA from 10 species
AGCUGUGAGAGGUUUCUGGGAUAUUGGUUCACUCAGCAAGGAUGUUUAAAAAUGCCUUCUAUGUGCCAGACGCUGUUGUAGGUACCGGGAAUAUGGCGGUUAAAUUAAGAGGGUGAAGGUUUCUGCUCUGAUACAGUUUAUAUUCUAAAUGUGAGAGGACAGACCAGUUAGAUAGAUGUAAAUUAAAUAAUUAAAUAGAUGAUUUUUACAUACUGUAGAGCUAUAGAGAAAAUAUAGCUGGAUGGGUGAUAGUGACUUGGGGAUGGGGGUGGCUACUCUGGAUAGGGUAGUUUAAGGUGACAUCUCUGUGCAGAUGUAGAAUGGGCUAGUGCUUUCUAAGAACUGAAAGAUCAGUGAAGAAGGGGAGCAUAGUGACUGAGGAGUAGUGUGGCAUUAGAUGGGGUCUGAGAGUUACACAGGAACAUGUGGAGCCUGUAGGCCAUGCAAGGCCAUCAGUGAAGAGAAAGAGUGGG